rnacentral:rRNA from 1 species
GACGAACGCUGGCGGCGUGCUUAACACAUGCAAGUCGAACGGAAAGGCCUCUUUCGGGGGGUACUCGAGUGGCGAACGGGUGAGUAACACGUGAGUAACCUGCCCUUGACUUUGGGAUAACUUCAGGAAACUGGGGCUAAUACCGGAUAGGAGCUCCUGCUGCAUGGUGUGGGUUGGAGAGUUUCGGCGGUUGGGGAUGGACUCGCGGCUUAUCAGCUUGUUGUUGGGGUAGUGGCUUACCAAGGCUUUGACGGGUAGCCGGCCUGAGAGGGUGACCGGCAACAGUGGGACUGAGAUACGGCCCAGACUCCGACGGGAGGCAGAAGUGGGGAAGAGUGCACAAGGGGUGGAAGCCUGAUGCAGCAACGCCGUGUGCGGGAGGACGGUCUUGGGGUUGGAAUCCGCUUGCGCUCAUGACGAAGCUUUGUGUGACGGUAGUGGGUAAAGAAGCACCGGCUAACUACGUG